CUGGCGGCAAGGUGUCCCCUCCUCACCAGGUCCGGCUGCUCCGGCGGCAAGGUGUCCCCUCCUCACCAGGUCCGGCUGCUCCAGCGGCAAGGUGUCCCCUCCUCGUCUGCAAGAACAAGUGCAACAGGCAGGUCUUGGUUCCCCUCCCUCCCCCAAUUGCAUCUUCAGUUCAAUUUUGUUCUGGACGUGAUCAAGAUUUAACGAGUUGGAGUCCAUCUAUCCGAAUAUGAAUUCCUGGAUGUAAUGGAGCCCAACUUAAAUACAGUGUAAUAAUCUGAGUCGGAUUCCUUUUUCAGUUCAAGUACAUACUGGUGUAUCUUGGUAUUAGAAGUUUAAAAGUUUUUCAUACUAAUAUAUGCAUGUGGUAGUAAAUACAUAUAGGAUGACAGAUAACAGAUAUUAGGGAUGUGCAUGGUCAGAAAUUAAAGUUUCUUUAUAAUAUUGUAUUUGUAUUUCGUUAACUAUCAAACUGAUUCGAAAUUCAGUUUGGUAUCGAUACAUACCAAAUUAUUCCUAUUUGGUUUCAGUAUAUGCCACAUUAACCAGAAUUUCCUCUAUGCAUGAUUCGAAAUUCAGUUUGAUCUCAGUACAUACCAAGCCUGUACAGACGUUCAAUGACAUGAAUAUUUCCUCUAUGCAUGAUUCGAAAUUCAGUUUGGUCUCAGUACAUACCAAGCCUGUACAGACGUUCAGUGACAUGAAUAUUUCCUCUAUGCAUGAUUUUAUAAUUUGCUAUAUGCCUUUGAGAUUAGGCUUUUGUAUUUUCUUUUGAGGAAAAAGGGAAAAGAGAAGUAGCUAAUAAAAAUGAUCUCUGAUAUCUGUAUUGAUAUCUAUUCUUUUUUGAAAAACGAGAAGUCAAAUUGUCUUUGUUCUUGAUUCUGUGAGGCUCUCUCAUUAUAUCUGUCUAAUGGCAAAUGUCUUGAUCUCUCUAGAGACUGGUCGGAAUAGAGUGUGGCCCUGUUGCUUUUUGGUAUCAUUACUAGCAAGUGUCAUGUCACUUUUACCCAUGCUCUUUACAAACAGAAGUACCCCUCAGAUUUUAGUUUAUACAUAGAGUCAACUGUUGUUGUCGAAGCUGCUAGUAAACUGACUUGAAUAUGCAUUUUCCUUGUUGAUCGCCUGAUUUGUUUCAAGUGUGGUUGUAGUUUGUAGAUAUGACACUCCAUUAGUUCCACCGAAAUGGUACAUGUAUCCUGGAUGGAGCUGAUGCAUACAUAUCCUUUUAAUUCCUUUUCCUUUUUGUACAUUUAAAUAAAAAAAUACCAAUCUUGACUCUGGCCAAGAGCCGGUCGUUUGUUAUUGUUAUGGUAUAAAUGGUAUAUUAGAAAGGAGUGGCCAGAGCACAUAUUUGUUAUUGUUAUGGAAAUACAAGUGUUGUCACUGUAAAUACAAAAGGAGUGGGCAGAGUGCAUCUCACCCAUUCCAUGUACAUGAAGGCGGUUCCCUUGUGGUGCAACAACAAUGUUCCUUGCUACCAGCAAAUCAUAUCCAAAUGGAUAGACCCGGAGUGGAGGGCCCAACAUCGAAUGGCUUCCGAGCGGCGUGCCUUGAUGGGUGGUCCGGUACACCUUCAAGGCAACCUCAGCCUCCACGCUUACGUGCAGAAGAAGAAUAGGGAGAGAGGUGAGGGCCAAGAGAAGCUCAAUACCUUCACGGGAUUAUGUCUCUCCCGCAAGUCAAAGAAACCGGAAGGGGGUGGGUCAACCCAGGCGCUGGCUUGAGGAUUGAUGCAUACAGUGGGAAGUUCAAGGAGCACAACGGGCCUGACUCUGAUCCGGCCUCACAGGACAUUGACGCUACAAUUUCCCUCCAGUCGGGAGAUGUCAAGAAGGGUGGUCGGUUAUAUGUUGGCGACGGUGCCAUCCAUAAGAAGGACAUCCAAAAACUCUCUCACCUCCGUGCUACCACGUCGAGCUCAGGUCCUGCUAUAGAGCGUCGCCCACAGCUUGGGCUGCACAUGCUUCAUCAACUCGAGGCCAAUGCCAGGCUUCGAGAGGAGCAAGCCAUGAAAAUGCAGCAGGCUUUCAACAGCAAGAAUUCAUGGUUAAACAACAGGCAAUCCUGCAAGAGACAUUUGCUCAACUCAGAAAUAAUAUGCAGGGUUCCACUUUGCCCGUUCUUCCUCCUCUUCCGACUCUUCCUAAUUUCAACUUUUUUUCUCAGUCGGGAAAAGACUCCAAUAACUGUGUGGUAGGUGGAUCUUCACCUGGCCAAGCAAGUCCAGUGACACCCACUACGGUUCAUGUCGCUUCGACCUCCCCACAACAAUGAUCACUUGAGGUUUGCAUUGUGGAUGGCAUUGACGGUGGGCAUAUAUGCUGCGGUGGAGCUCAUUGCAUGGUUCAUGCUUGGUGUGAACUUGGAACUCAUGAUCCUUUAAUUUGUGAACCUCUGGUUGCAUAUGUAUGUAUGUUGUUGUGAACCUUCGUUGGAUAUGUAUGCACAACUUACGGUCCUUUCGUUUGUGAUCUUUUGUUGCAUACGUAUGCAUAUGUGGACUUUGCACUCAUGUACGGCUGGAUAUAUGUAUUAUUGGAUAUA